UGGGGAAUUUUGGACAAUGGGGGAAACCCUGAUCCAGCCAUCCCGCGUGUGCGAUGAAGGCCUUUGGGUCGUAAAGCACUUUUGGCAGGCAAGAAACGUCAUGGGUUAAUACCCCGUGAAACUGACGGUACCUGCAGAAUACGCACCGGCUAACUACGUGCCAGCAGCCGCGGUAAUACGAAGGGUGCAAGCGUUAAUCGGAAUUACUUUGCGUAAAGCGUGCGCAGGCGGUUCGGAAAGAAAGAUGUGAAAUCCCAGAGCUCAACUUUGGAACUGCAUUUUUAACUACCGGGCUAGAGUGUGUCAGAGGGAGGUGGAAUUCCGCGUGUAGCAGUGAAAUGCGUAGAUAUGCGGAGGAACACCGAUGGCGAAGGCGGCCUCCUGGGAUAACACUGACGCUAAUGCACGAAAGCGUGGGGAGCGAACAGG
rnacentral:rRNA from 1 species